rnacentral:rRNA from 1 species
AUUGAACGCUGGCGGCAGGCCUAACACAUGCAAGUCGAGCGGUAGAGAGGUGCUUGCACCUCUUGAGAGCGGCGGACGGGUGAGUAAUGCCUAGGAAUCUGCCUGGUAGUGGGGGAUAACGUCCGGAAACGGACGCUAAUACCGCAUACGUCCUACGGGAGAAAGCAGGGGACCUUCGGGCCUUGCGCUAUCAGAUGAGCCUAGGUCGGAUUAGCUAGCUGGUGAGGUAAUGGCUCACCAAGGCGACGAUCCGUGACUGGUCUGAGAGGAUGAUCAGUCACACUGGAACUGAGACACGGUCCAGACUCCUACGGGAGGCAGCAGUGGGGAAUAUUGGACAAUGGGCGAAAGCCUGAUCCAGCCAUGCCGCGUGUGUGAAGAAGGUCUUCGGAUUGUAAAGCACUUUAAGUUGGGAGGAAGGGUUGUAGAUUAAUACUCUGCAAUUUUGACGUUACCGACAGAAUAAGCACCGGCUAACUCUGUGCCAGCCGCCGCCGUAACAC